ACGGGUGCGUAACGCGUAUGCAAUCUGCCUUUCACAGAGGGACAGCCCAGAGAAAUUUGGAUUAAUACCUCAUAGCAUAGCAGCUCGGCAUCGGGCAGCUAUUAAAGUCACAACGGUGAAAGAUGAGCAUGCGUCCCAUUAGCUAGUUGGUAAGGUAACGGCUUACCAAGGCAACGAUGGGUAGGGGUCCUGAGAGGGAGAUCCCCCACACUGGUACUGAGACACGGACCAGACUCCUACGGGAGGCAGCAGUGAGGAAUAUUGGUCAAUGGGCGCAAGCCUGAACCAGCCAUGCCGCGUGCAGGAUGACGGUCCUAUGGAUUGUAAACUGCUUUUGCACAGGAAGAAACACCCCGACGUGUCGGGACUUGACGGUACUGUGAGAAUAAGGAUCGGCUAACUCCGUGCCAGCAGCCGCGGUAAUACGGAGGAUCCAAGCGUUAUCCGGAAUCAUUGGGUUUAAAGGGUCCGUAGGCGGUCUGGUAAGUCAGUGGUGAAAGCCCAUCGCUCAACGGUGGAACGGCCAUUGAUACUGCUGGACUUGAAUUAUUGGGAAGUAACUAGAAUAUGUAGUGUAGCGGUGAAAUG
rnacentral:rRNA from 1 species